rnacentral:lncRNA from 1 species
AGACGGUGAACACAACUACGGAAUCAAUUUGGAUUUUCUACGGUUGAAUCACAAGAUAAUUGGAGUUGAAAUUUGGCUAGGGUUUCUUAGUUUCAAUAACUUGAUGAUAAUUGAUGGAUAUAAGACUAAUUAUAUGUAUAUAAUGACCAAUUUUCGUCCAUGAGGUGAUGGAAAAUGACCAUAUUGCCCUUAAAAAUUUAAGUAAAUCCGAAUCUGUCCAUGGUGGACUGUUUUGAUAGGCUAAAGUAAAUCGGCCAUAACUCUUUGCUCCGAUAUCGGAUUUGGGUGAAAUUGGUAUCGUUAGAAAGAUAAUUCAAAGGUCUUUCAUUUAAUAUAAAGUAAGCCACCCAGUUCGUCCUGUACAAGUAGUUAUGAUCGUUUGAAGUUGACC